GACGAACGCUGGCGGCGUGCCUAAUACAUGCAAGUAGAACGCUGAAGGAGGAGCUUGCUUCUCUGGAUGAGUUGCGAACGGGUGAGUAACGCGUAGGUAACCUGCCUGGUAGCGGGGGAUAACUAUUGGAAACGAUAGCUAAUACCGCAUAAUAUUGACUAUUGCAUGAUAGUCAGUUGAAAGGUGCAACUGCACCACUACCAGAUGGACCUGCGUUGUAUUAGCUAGUUGGUGGGGUAACGGCUCACCAAGGCGACGAUACAUAGCCGACCUGAGAGGGUGAUCGGCCACACUGAGACUGAGACACGGCCCAGACUCCUACGGGAGGCAGCAGUAGGGAAUCGUCGGCAAGAGACGGAAGUCUGACCGAGCAACGCCGCGUGAGUGAAGAAGGUUGUCGGAUCGUAAAGCUCGGUUGUAAGAGAAGAACGAGUGUGAGAGUGGAAAGCUCACACUGUGACGGUAUCUUACCAGAAAGGGACGGCUAACUACGUG
rnacentral:rRNA from 1 species